rnacentral:misc_RNA from 1 species
UGUGUGGAUCAAUGGCGUGCAUCGGCUGCCAGUAGCCACCGGUGCGAGCGCUCUUUUCUCUUGCGUUAGGGAUUCUUUGUAGGUUUGUGCUACGGCCGUUGCGAUCACGACAGCAGCCCACACACAGCUACCGCGGCUCUCUCCCGCUUACUCAUCCUCCUCUCUCGGUGCAUAAGCGGUGCGCCUGUGGGCACUGCAAUAGAUUCCGUGUGUGAGACUCUUCCUUGUGUCGCGAGCUCCUCUUUCGCUUCCUUUUUGCCCAGACUGUGCUGCAGCGUUGAAGCGUGCUCGUGUGGUGUGCCGCUUGCUUGUUUGCUUCCCUGAACGGGUGUCGUCUACCACGCCUCCAUCGUGAUCGGUAACGUGUGCACGCACACGUGAACACAGGCAGUUAGCCGCCGCGCGGACCUCUCGGUUUGCCCACCACAGCUACAAAAAUGGAUGUGAUUCCGCCUGAGUACGACCCGGUGACUCGAGAGCGCGUGUAUCGGCAGGAGUGGCUCGAAUACUUUCACUACAUCGGCUUUGAGGCAGCGAUACGUGAUUACCCGGCUGAGUACCGCGCCCUCUUCCCUCGUGGACAUCACAAGCCGCCAGCCAUGCCGCCUCCGCUGCCCGUCGGAGGUACGAAGUCUCAGAAGGCAUCCACCUCCGCGACGGCGGCAAACAUGUUCAUUGCCGAUGAUGAUGACAAGGAGGUCGGUAAGGGCAGUGAAACCGAAGAUGACUGGUCCUCGCUCAUCUCUUCAUCGUCGUCUUCCGCAGCCUCGACGCCGCGCGAUGCACCCCGUGAGGACGCGCGAGCCGAAAAUGUCGAGCGGACGGCUCGCGACGAGCGCAGCAGUCGCCGGCAGACGUCGAGCCGCCACGAUGACCGCCAUCACUCAAGCCGACGCCACCGCGACCGAGACAGUGAUGAGCGUCGGCGGCGACACCAUAGCGACGAGGAGGAGCGGCGGCAUCGGCACCGGCACCACAGUUCUCGAGGAAGCGAUUAUCACCACAGCACCAGCAGCGGCACGAGCCGCCGCCGCAGGCGCUCUGGUGACCGAGAUAACCGUGAAGAUCGUCGCUCGUCACGCGUGUACAGCAGCGAGGAAAGUAGUCGCCGCUAUCGCCGAGAGACGACCAGCGGUAGCUCGCGUACUCAUGCCUACGAGGACCGUCGUGAGGAUGCGCUACGCCGUCGCGAUAACGCAUAUAGGCGCUAGCGACACCAGUUUCUCACGGAUUGUUUGUUUCGCUUGUGUUCCUAAGCGAGCAGUCCUGUCAUAACCGAGAAGAUCGCAGCAUGGGCGGACAACCACGCGAGCAGCAAGUGCGCUCUUCUCUGCCCCCCCCCUCGCGCUUUAGAUUUGCUUGCUCGUCACACACACUCCCCUACCUUCCGCGCCCGACUAAUCCUCCGCGAAGACACGGCUGGAUGCUUUUUUUUUGCCAUGAUAGUUUCUGUUACUCACGAUGGGCACGUGUGUGUGUGGCAUGUGGCGCCUCCUUGAAAAGAAAGAGGAGACGGAGACAGCGUUGGAGGUAAGCUGGUGUGGCGCAUGCACACACACCCCCCCCGUUCUGCAGCAAAGAGCGCGAAAUACGCUUGCAAGUAUCGAUACCUGUCAACCUUCUGUUCAGCUUUUCGUGAUGCGCCAACUGGAGCAGACGCGCCAUU